CUGCAGUGAUGAGCUUUGAUGUGUCUGAUCUGGUAUUGCUCUUCCUCCGGGACGAGCUCUGACCAGGGAAUGACCCCGAAUUAAUCUUCUCUCUGAGCAG